UACGUAGGUGGCAAGCGUUAUCCGGAAUUAUUGGGCGUAAAGCGCGCGCAGGCGGUUUCUUAAGUCUGAUGUGAAAGCCCCCGGCUCAACCGGGGAGGGUCAUUGGAAACUGGGAAACUUGAGUGCAGAAGAGGAAAGCGGAAUUCCACGUGUAGCGGUGAAAUGCGUAGAUAUGUGGAGGAACACCAGUGGCGAAGGCGGCUUUCUGGUCUGUAACUGACGCUGAGGCGCGAAAGCGUGGGGAGCAAACAGG
rnacentral:rRNA from 1 species